GAUGAACGCUAGCGGCAGGCCUAAUACAUGCAAGUCGAACGGAUAUAUGUUUUUCGGAAUAUAUAUUAGUGGCGCACGGGUGAGUAACACGUACAUAACUUGCCCUCAAGCGGGGGAUAGCCUUGGGAAACUGAGAGUAAUACCCCAUAGAAUUAUUGGACGGCAUCGUUUGAUAAUUAAAACUACGGUGCUUGGGGAUAGAUGUGCGUCUGAUUAGCUAGUUGGUGAGGUAACUGCUCACCAAGGCGACGAUCAGUAGGGGGCGUGAGAGCGUGGCCCCCCACACGGGUACUGAGACACGGACCCGACUCCUACGGGAGGCAGCAGUAAGGAAUAUUGGUCAAUGGAGGGAACUCUGAACCAGCCAUGCCGCGUGAAGGAUGACGGCCCUCUGGGUUGUAAACUUCUCUUGGAUGGGGCGAAAAAACGGGNUUUAUCCUGGACUGACGGUACCAUCAGAAUAAGCACCGGCUAACUCCGUG
rnacentral:rRNA from 1 species